GCACCACGAGGGUUAGACUGUCUCCUUUUUCAAAUCAGUGAAAUUAAUCUCCCCGUGAAGAAGCGGGGAUACUCAUAUAAGACGAGAAGACCCCAUGGAGCUUCAAACCCAACUACACCCCUAGCUCUUAUAGCCCCACAACCCCCCUAGGCACCGUGUGCUUGGUUUUAGGUUGGGGCGACCGCGGAGUACAAUAAAACCUCCACAAUGAAUGGGAACACCCCCUUAUCUGAGGGCCACACCCCCUAAGAAUUAGAACACUAACAUAAAAUGAUCCAUUACUUGAUCAAUGAACCAAGUUACCCUGGGGAUAACAGCGCAAUCCAUUUCAAGAGCCCCUAUCGACAAAUGGGUUUACGACCUCGAUGUUGGAUCAGGGUACCCCAGUGGUGCAGCAGCUACUAACGGUUCGUUUGUUCAACGAUUAAAACCCU
rnacentral:rRNA from 1 species